rnacentral:ncRNA from 1 species
UGGUCUACAGGAUUCAUAACUACUCCGCAUAUCAAUAAGCGGAGGAAAAGAAACUUAAAAGGAUUCCCUUAGUAACGGCGAGUGAACUGGGAACAGCCCAGCCUUAGAAUUGGGUAACUCUGUCAUCUGAAUUGUAGUCUGGAUAAGCGUCCUCCGCGGCAGACCGGGCCCAAAUCACCUGGAAGGGGGCGCCAAAGACGGUGAGAGCCCCAUUGUGCCCGAACCCUGUCGUACCACGAGGCGCUGUCUACGAGUCGAGUUGUUUGGGAAUGCAGCCAAAAUCGAGAGGUGAAUUCUGUCCAAGGCUAAAUACGGGCGAGAGACUGAUAGAUAACAAGUACCGCGAGGAAAAGAUGACAAGGACUUUGAAAGUAGAGUCAAAGAGUGCUUGAAAUUGACAGGAGGGAAGCGGAUGGGGGACAGCGAUGUGCCCCGUUCGGAUGUUGAACAGUGAAGAGCCUGUCCGCUGAUCGACUUGGGGAUUGGACCAGCGUGGAUUGGGGGGGAGACCAAAGCCCGGUCUCUCGAUACGCCCUUGGAACGCGGUCUCCUUGAUUAUAGUAGACAUCACACGCCUCUGGCUUGCUUCGGCAUCUGCCCGCUCUGGACGCUGGCCUUUGGGCUCCCCAUUCGACCCGUCUUGAAACACGGACCAAGGAGUCUGACAUGUGUGUGAUUCAAUGGGCAAAUAAACUCGUAAGGCGUAAGGAAGCUGAUUGGUAGGAUCCCCCUGAGGGGUGCACCGCCGACCGACCUUGAUCUUUUGAGAAGGGUUCGAGUGUUAGCAUGCCUGUCGGGACUCAAAAGAUGGUGAACUAUGCCUGAGCAGGGCAUAGCCAGAGGAAACUCUGGUGGUGGCCCGCAGCGAUACUGACGUGCAAAUCGUUCGUCUAACUUGGGUAUAGGGGCGAAAGACUAAUCGAACCGUCUAGUAGCUGGUUCCCUCCAAAGUUUCCCUCAAGAUAGCUGGAGCUCACGUGCGAGUUCUAUCGGGUAAAGCCAAUGAUUAGAUGCCUCGGGGGCACAGCGCCCUCGACCCAUUCUCAAACUUUAAGUAGGUACGUAGGACGGCGCAAUUGUUUUGUUGAGCCGCGCCACGGAAUCAAUAGCUCCAAGUGGGCCAUUUUUGGUAAGCAGAACUGGCGAUGCGUGAUUAACCAUAAACCGAGUUACGGUGCCAAACUGCGCGCUAACCUAGAUCCCACAAAGGGUGUUGGUCGAUUAAGACAGCUGAACGGUGGUCAUGGAAGUCGAAAUCCGCUAAUGAGUGUGUAACAACUCACCUGCCGAAUCAACUAGCCCCGAAAAUGGAUGGCGCUUAAGCGCACGACCUACACCCAACCGUCAAGGCAAGUGCCAGUCCCCGAUGGUUAGGAGGGUGCGGCGGUCGCUGCAAAACCUUGGGCGUGAGCCUGGGUGGAGCAGCCGUCGGUGCAGAUCUUGGUGGUAGUAGCAAAUAUUAGAACUUUCAAGGCCGAAAAGGGGAAAGGCCGACGU